ACAGAGGUGUCAAGCGUUGCUCGGUGUCACUGGGCUUAAAGGGCGCGUAGGCUGCGCGGUACGGUUCGGGUGAAAUCCCUCGGCUCAACCGAGGAACUGCCCGGGCGACGGCCGUGCUUGACUGCAUCAGGGGCGGAUGGAACUCCCGGUGGAGCGGUGAAAUGCGUAGAUAUCGGGAGGAACGCCGGUGGCGAAAGCGAUCCGCUGGGGUGCAUGUGACGCUGAGGCGCGAAAGCUAGGGGAGCAAACG
rnacentral:rRNA from 1 species